GGUGCUGCAUGGCUGUCGUCAGCUCGUGUCGUGAGAUGUUGGGUUAAGUCCCGCAACGAGCGCAACCCUUGCCAUUAGUUGCUACAUUCAGUUGAGCACUCUAAUGGGACUGCCGGUGACAAACCGGAGGAAGGUGGGGAUGACGUCAAGUCCUCAUGGCCCUUAUGGGUAGGGCUACACACGUCAUACAAUGGCGCGUACAGAGGGUUGCCAACCCGCGAGGGGGAGCCAAUCCCAGAAAGCGCGUCGUAGUCCGGAUUGAAGUCUGCAACUCGACUUCAUGAAGUCGGAAUCGCUAGUAAUCACAGAUCAGCAUGCUGCGGUGAAUACGUUCCCGGGCCUUGUAC
rnacentral:rRNA from 1 species